UAUGAAUAAUUUUAAAUGGCCGCAGUAAUUUGACUGUGCAAAGGUAGCAUAAUCAUUAGUCUUUUAAUUGAAGGCUUGUAUGAAUGGUUGGACGAAGUAUAAUCUGUUUCAUAUAAAUUUUAUAUAGAAUUUUAUUUUUUAGUAAAAAAGCUAAAAUUUAUUUAAAAGACGAGAAGACCCUAUAAAUCUUUAUAUUUUUAUUUAUUUUUAUAUUUUUGAUUUAUUUUAUAAUAAUAAAUAAAAUUAUUUUGUUGGGGUGAUAAUAAAAUUUAAUUAACUUUUAAUUUAUUUUUACAUUAAUUUAUGAUUAAUUGAUCCAUUAAUAAUGAUUAAAAGAUUAAGUUACUUUAGGGAUAACAGCGUAAUUUUUUUGGAGAGUUCUUAUUGAUAAAAAAGUUUGCGACCUCGAUGUUGGAUUAAGAUAUAAUUCUAGGUGUAGUUGCUUAGA
rnacentral:rRNA from 1 species